GUGGGGAAUCUUGCGCAAUGGGCGAAAGCCUGACGCAGCAACGCCGCGUGGGGGAUGAAGGCUCUCGGGUUGAAAACCCCUUUCAGCAGGGACGAAUCAAGACAGUACCUGCAGAAGAAGCCCCGGCUAACUACGUGCCAGCAGCCGCGGUAACACGUAGGGGGCAAGCGUUGUCCGGCUUUAUUGGGCGUAAAGAGCUCGUAGGUGGCUGAGUAAGUCGGAUGUCAAAUCCCCAGGCUCAACCUGGGAUCCCAUCCGAUACUGCUCUGGCUAGAGUCCGGUAGGGGAGCGUGGAAUUCCUGGUGUAGCGGUGAAAUGCGCAGAUAUCAGGAGGAACACCAGCGGCGAAGGCGGCGCUCUGGGCCGGUACUGACACUGAGGAGCGAAAGCGUGGGUAGCAAACAGGAUUAGAAACCCGGGUAGUCC
rnacentral:rRNA from 1 species